UAAAUUUAUUUUAAGAUAAAAAUUUAUUAUUUACAAUAAUAAGAUUAUGAUUUUUUCAUAAAUUUAA
rnacentral:tRNA from 1 species